rnacentral:lncRNA from 1 species
GUGAAUGGGUGACGGGCACUGAGGGGGGCGCUUGACGGGAUGAGCACUGGGUGUUAUUCUGUAUGUUGGCAAAUUGAACACCAAUAAAAAUAAAUUUAUUAUAAAAAAAAAGUCGUUUGAAAAGUGUAUUAAGGGUAGCCCCUGUGGCGCCGCGGUUUAGCGCCGCCUGUAGCCGGGGGUGUGAUCCUGGAGUCCCGGAUCAAGUCCUCCGGGGGUCGAGUCCUUGGAUCGAAUCCCGCGUCGGGGUCCCUGCCUGGAGCCUGCUUCUCCCUGUGUCUCUGCCUCUUCUCUCUCUGUGUGUCUCUAUGAAUAAAUAAAUAAAAAUUUAAAAUCCAUAAAUAAACAAAAAUAAAAAGUGUAUCAAUUAUCUGAAAUUAUUAAUAGAACACAGGCAAAUGCAUGAAAUUUUGGGGUAUGGUUUAAAAUACACUUUUUCUGAAAUGAAACUAUAAAUAGAGUGAAAAUGAUAAUUUUUUGUUGUUUCAGAAUGGCACCCAAGGUUGUUCACCGCAUAGAAAAUUUCAAUUCCGACCAUAAUGCCACUGCUGAGAUAUAACUUAUUUAGGUGAGUUAAAAAGGAACUAGAUUCUGAGCAGACAGAAGCAAUAGAUAAUUGCUACAUUGAUUCAGACAAUGGCAAAGAGGAAAUAGGAAGUGCAUGAAGAGACCCAACCACAGCAUGGAGCUCCUUUGUGGAAUCUUACCCAAGCAGCUCAAGUGGUACCCAGCAACCCAGAUCCGCGAAUAUCGGCAUAUUCUCUCCCCUGGCUACAAUGACUGGUUCAGGCAUGGGCUUAAAACCCAAGCUGGGCUGAGGGAAAAACAGCCACAGGACUUUCCAGAACUAUUGGCAAAAGAGACAUAGUGACUGCUGAGCUUAUGGAAUGCCAGCCUAGAGCUGUAAGUGGUCAUUUUUCUUUCUUAAAUGAAGACUCUACCUGAGGAUAAAAUCAACACAGAGAAAAGCAGAGCCAAAGACAUAGAAAAAUAAAUCCUUCCUGGCUGUGUUUCA